rnacentral:antisense_RNA from 1 species
UAUAAAUUACUCAAUCUCAGGUAUUUCUUCAUAGCAGCAUGAGAAUGGACUAAUACAAAGUCCUUUGGCUGGAGGCAACAAGAAAAAUUCUGACUAUCAUUUCCCAUGCUACCCCUCACCUUUCAAAUCCUUUACAGUAUGGGGAGCAGGAGAAAGGCAGACCUUACAUGAGAGGACUGUGAGGGGAGCAAGGUCGAGAGUCCACAUGGAACCCCAAAAACUAGGAGAGCUAGAACAAGGACAUUUGAAACAAAAAGAAAAAUUACUGUCAUGUGAUGUGUGAUCCAUGAUACCAUCAUAGUUUUAUUUAGCUGUGCUCCACCUUCAUAUCUUCACCUAUGUUAGAACUUCUGAGAAGCUGAAGCAU